rnacentral:lncRNA from 1 species
AUGGUGGAUGGUGCAGCCAUGUUGAGGCUUCUCCCCUUGGCGUUCAGCAAGACCAAAAGGGAGGCAUGUGCUAGAGCCUCGGAGUUCAAGCGAGGUGGCCCAGUGGUGGGUCUCGAGCCUCUCAUCAGAGGUUAUUAAAGUAGUAUGGCGAUUUAAUCAACGCAUUUUAUUGAGCCAUAAAAAUAUUACAAAGGCAGGGAAAGUUAUCCGGCAUGAUACAAUUCACUGAUAAAAGAUUCUUAGGUGUUCAAUGUUCCAUGGACGGGGUUGUGCCUUGCCGUCCAUGUCUUCAAUCCGAUAGGUUCCAGGUCGAAUUUCUUCUCUGAUCUUGUAUGGACCUUCCCAGUUCGAUCCCAGGGAGCCGGAACCGGGGUCUUUUGAAGAUGGAAAGACCCUCCUGAGCACAAGAUCGUUGAUUCGGAAAGACCUCUUCUUGACUUUGGAGUUGAAGUACCUUGUCAUCUUCCUUUGGUAGGUGCCUAACCUCAGCUGGGAGUCGUCCCUCUUCUCCUCAAUGAAAUCGAGGUCUAGCCUCCGGAGCUCGUCGUUGGUCACUUCACUAAAGUGCAGACGUCGUGGAGAUGGGAGUCCGACCUCCACGGGGCUCAUCGCCUCAGUCCCAAAAGCCAUGAGGAACGGGGUCUCCCCGGUUGGGGUCCUGGUGGUGGUUCGGAUUGCCCAAAGUACUUGGGGCAGCUCAUCAACCCAAGCUCCUUUGGACACAUCAAGCCUCCUUUUCAGGACGUGCUUGAUUGUCUUGUUCACGGCUUCGACCUGGCCAUUGGCUUGUGGGUGGUGAGGUGUAGAGAAGUGCUUCUUUAUGCCAAGAUCUUCACACAGUUCUCUAACCUUCUUGUUAUCGAACUGCCUGCCAUUGUCUGAGACGAUCGAGUAGGGAAUUCCGAACCGACAGAUGAUAUUCUUCUAUAGGAACUUGGAGGUGUUU